rnacentral:tRNA from 1 species
GGGGCUUUAGCUCAGCUGGCUAGAGCGCCUCGUUUGCACCGAGGAGGUCAGGGGUUCGAAUCCCCUAAGCUCCACCA